rnacentral:rRNA from 1 species
AGUGAACGCUGGCGGUAGGCCUAACACAUGCAAGUCGAACGGCAGCACAGGAGAGCUUGCUCUCUGGGUGGCGAGUGGCGGACGGGUGAGGAAUACAUCGGAAUCUACUCUGUCGUGGGGGAUAACGUAGGGAAACUUACGCUAAUACCGCAUACGACCUACGGGUGAAAGCAGGGGACCUUCGGGCCUUGCGCGAUUGAAUGAGCCGAUGUCGGAGUAGCUAGUUGGCGGGGUAAAGGCCGACCGAGGCGACGAUCCGUAGCUGGUCUGAGAGGAUGAUCAGCCACACUGGAACUGAGACACGGUCCAGACUCCUACGGGAGGCAGCAGUGGGGAAUAUUGGACAAUGGGCGCAAGCCUGAUCCAGCCAUACCGCGUGGGUGAAGAAGGCCUUCGGGUUGUAAAGCCCUUUUGUUGGGAAAGAAAUCCAGCUGGCUAAUACCCGGUUGGGAUGACGGUACCCAAAGAAUAAGCACCGGCUAACUUCGUGCCAGCCGCCGCCGUAA